rnacentral:rRNA from 1 species
AUAACUGUAGUAAUUCUAGAGCUAAUACUUGCAAACUAUGCCCUGACCCGCGAGGGAACGGGUGCAUUUAUUAGAACAGAACCAACCGGGUCGUGGCUUCGGCCGCGUCCGUCUUGCUCUGUGAUGACUCUGGAUAACUUUACCGAUCGCAGUCGGCCUUGUGUCGGCGAUGGAUCUUUCAAAUGUCUGUCUUAUCAAUUUUCGAUGGUAGGUGACCUGCCUACCACGGUGAUAACGGGUGAACGGGGAAUCAGGGUUCGAUUCCGGAGAGGGAGCCUGAGAG